rnacentral:rRNA from 1 species
GUGGGGAAUCUUCCGCAAUGGACGAAAGUCUGACGGAGCAACGCCGCGUGAGUGAUGAAGGUCUUCGGAUUGUAAAGCUCUGUUAAUCGGGACGAAAGAGCCUAGUGUGAAUAAUGCUAGGAAGUGACGGUACCGGAAUAGAAAGCCACGGCUAACUACGUGCCAGCAGCCGCGGUAAUACGUAGGUGGCAAGCGUUGUCCGGAAUUAUUGGGCGUAAAGCGCGCGCAGGCGGAUCUGCCAGUCUGUCUUAAAAGUUCGGGGCUUAACCCCGUGAUGGGAUGGAAACUACAGAUCUAGAGUAUCGGAGAGGAAAGUGGAAUUCCUAGUGUAGCGGUGAAAUGCGUAGAUAUUAGGAAGAACACCAGUGGCGAAGGCGACUACCUGGACUGAUACUGACACUGAGGUGCGAAAGCGUGGGGAGCAAACAGGAUUAGAUACCCGAGUAGUCC